AAGUACUCGUCGGGGCGAUCGUGGUGUGUUAAUUUAUUUCUCGAAUUGUAUUUCGGCUGCAUAAUCAAUUUUAAGUUGUAUUUUCCUUCGUUUAUAAAAUAAACUGCUUUGGUGCCUGAUACGUGUUGUACUUGUUUAUUUAUAACUUGGAUAAGUUGUACGAGAUCGGCCAUUUUUUAAUGGGUGAUGAUGGCGUUCGUAGUUAACAUGGAGUUCUCAUAAGGGAAGGGAUUGUUUCAAAGGAAAUUCAACAAAAUACAUGAACAAAAGGAAGCAGUAGAUUCGGAGAGCAACGAAUGGUAGAGAAGAACUGAAUUAAUGGGUGUUGGCACAUACCUCCUUGAAACAACGAUCGGUUUAACAUCAGACUCCGUGAGACUGCUAUGGACCCUGUGAUGGAAGCCGAUUGGUGUUAAUGUCAAUUACAACUAUGUCUGGACAAUUAACUCACAAUUGAACAACAGGAUAUGGACGUUUCUGUUAUUAACGCUUUUCCCAAGGGAACAAUUUAAAAUUAUCUUUUGAUUUCCUGUUUGAACGAACUCUUAGCAAACAAUGUAUAAUUUUCAUUUUCUUGGAAUAGAAACGGAGUUUUAUACGAAAGUAAAAUGAGUAAAGCAAAACUUUAAAGGUCAUUUUUUUGAAUCGAAAUUAGAAACUUAGUAACUUGGUAGUUUAAGAAAUCGAAGAAAAAUUUAAAAUUUUUCGAAAGGCAUUUUAUGCAUUAACUUUGCUUUUAUCAUUGGUUUAAACAGAAUUUGAAUAAGGUAAUGCGACGUACUACAACACAAACUUUACCUAAAUUUUCUUACAUUUCUUAAACACAAUAUUAGCUGUUAUUGUUGUUAGUUGUAAAUUUGCUAAUUACUUCAAUAGUACUCUUAACACUAAAUUACAUAUUUGCCAUCCUUUGUGGUAUGCUUCCCUUUGAAGUACAAUGUCAGUGUAAUGUAUGAAAUGUUAAAUAAAUAUUGAAUACAAUUAAUUAAUACAAAAGAAUAUAUUUUUAAAACUAAAAAUUCCUUUGAAAUAUUUUAGAGAAACAUGCCAUUUGUUUAUAUGUUUUGUUUUGUUUUUGUUUGUUACUGAGAAAAUUUCUUAAUUCUAAUUACAAUAUUAAUUGCUUAAUACUUUGUUUUACUCCCACAUUUUCAAUUUUAUUAGUGGAUCAUUUAUUAAUAAUGUUAAUUAGAUAUUUACGUAUUAGUGGUCAGUAUUUUGGUUCAUUA